rnacentral:rRNA from 1 species
CCUACGGGGGGCUGCAGUGAGGAAUAUUGGACAAUGGAUGGAAAUCUGAUCCAGCCAUGCCGCGUGCAGGAAGACGGCCCUAUGGGUUGUAAACUGCUUUUCUACGGGAGCAAUAAGGUCUACGCGUAGACUGAUGAGAGUACCGUAGGAAUAAGCAUCGGCUAACUCCGUGCCAGCAGCCGCGGUAAUACGGAGGAUGCGAGCGUUAUCCGGAUUUAUUGGGUUUAAAGGGUGCGUAGGCGGCUUUUUAAGUCAGCGGUGAAAUUUUGCAGCUUAACUGUAACAGUGCCGUUGAUACUGGGGAGCUAGGAUUUGGUUGCUGUGGGUGGAAUGUGUGGUGUAGCGGUGAAAUGCUUAGAGAUCACACAGAAUAUCGAUUGCGAAGGCAGCUCACAAAGCCAAGAUUGACGCUGAGGCACGAAAGUGUGGGGAUCAAACAGGAUUAGAUACCCGUGUAGUC